AUGCUUAACCGGCAGGGUAGAGACUGUGGCCAUGAAGGUGGCCGUCCAGGGAAGGCCUUCUCCGCCGCACUCACGUUGUAUUGGUCCUUGAGAUUUACCCAGUGACGGAAACUCGGCUGCAUGCUUUGUAGUAGUGGGGGCUGCAUUUGCCCUCUCCCU
rnacentral:snRNA from 1 species